AUAUAUGCAGACAACACAAUAAGCUUUUCACCUCCCCAUCUUCUCUACAAAGUUUCCCUCCCAAACCCUUUCUUCUCUACGGAUGUAUCUCCAAAACAGCAACCACCAACAUACAUCAGACCCAACCUCAUCUCUCCUCUCAAGCUCAGCAACAAUCCCCCCCGUGUUUCUUCUCCGGUGUGACCAUCGGCGGCGGCGGUGGUUGUUUCCAGCCGCAACCCCCCCUUUACCGUUACUCCUCUCAUCCUCCAUCCCGCUCACCUCCUCUCUCUCACUCUGUAACAGAGCCGACAGCCACCGCGGCGGUGGCGGCGCAACAGGAACAGGAGCCGCAGCAGCGGCGGACGUCGGUUCCGAUCCGGCUUGUUCCCGGUCUAGUUCAGGUCCGGCUUCAGUUUGGGUUAGUUCACUGUUAGUUUGAGUGCCGGUUGGAAACAUCCGGUCACGGGUUCGAGUUCCGGCUAACUCCCGUCAACUUCCGAUCGUCUCAACUCCAGUUUGGGUUCAGUUUCGGGUUCCGUUUCAGCGGGUUUUCGGGUUUAGUUCGGCUUAGUUCAACUUGGGUUCACGUCGGCAGCCCCGAGUUAUGUUCGACUCAGUUUUGUUUCGAGUUUUGUUUUGUCUAUACGUUGAUUCAAGGCUGCUUGACUUUCGGUUCACACGGUUCGAUUCGGGUCAGAUUGUAGCUCGAGUUCGCCCCUUUUCCUUCACUGUUUCGGGUGAUCGUUUUCCGUUCGUUAUUCUCCAUCUUUACUCGUGCGUUAUUUCAAGAAAUUCUUAUACGCAACCAAUGUUGAUUAUUGAAGUAUGGAUGAUUCAUGAAACAAGUUUAGGGUGGACUGGAUACACGCCUAGAAUAUUCUAUCUUUUGUUCGUUAUGUUACUUGUUGAAACAAUGUUGUUAUUUCCUUUUGAAUCAUGUAUGACUUUUAAGUUUUGAAAUGAAAUUUGAAUUUAAAUUAAUUAUUGUCA